UCAGCCACGCAGGUUGAAUUGACCAAAGCAAUGGUUAUGGAGAAGCCUAGUCCCCUGCUGGUCGGGCGGGAAUUUGUGAAACAGUAUUACACACUGCUGAACCGAGCCCCUGACAUGCUCCAUAGAUUUUAUGGCAAGAACUCUUCCUAUGUCCAUGGGGGACUGGAUUCAAAUGGAAAGCCAGCAGAUGCAGUCUAUGGACAGAAAGAAAUUCAUAGGAAAGUGAUGUCACAAAACUUUACCAACUGCCACACCAAGAUUCGCCAUGUUGAUGCACACGCUACUCUGAAUGAUGGCGUGGUGGUCCAGGUGAUGGGACUGCUCUCCAACAAUAACCAGGCUCUGCGGAGAUUCAUGCAAACAUUUGUCCUUGCUCCUGAGGGCUCUGCUGCAAAUAAAUUCUAUGUUCAUAAUGAUAUCUUCAGAUACCAAGAUGAGGUCUUUGGUGGCUUUGUUACUGAGCCUCAGGAAGAGUCUGAGGAAGAAGUAGAAGAACCUGAAGAGAGACAGCAGACGCCUGAAGUGGUACCUGAUGACUCUGGAACUUUCUAUGAUCAGACUGUCCGCAAUGACUUGGAAGAACACUUAGAGGAGCCUGUUGCUGAGCCAGAGCCUGAUCCUGAACCAGAACCACAGCAGGAACCUGUAUCUGAAAUCCAAGAGGAAAAGUGUGACCCGGUAUUAGAAGAAACUGCUCCUGAGGAUGCUCAGAAGAGUUCCUCUCCAGCACCUGCAGACAUCGCUCAGACUGUGCGGGAAGACUUGAGGACAUUUUCUUGGGCAUCUGUGACCAGUAAGAAUCUUCCUCCAAGUGGAGCUGUUUCAGGUCCUGGGAUACCACCUCAUGUUGUUAAAGUGCCAGCUUCACAGCCCCCUCUAGAGUCUAAACCUGAAUCUCAGACUCCACCACAGAGGCCUCAGAGGGACCAAAGAGUUCGAGAACAACGAAUAAAUCUUCCUCCGCAGAGAGGACCCAGGCCAAUCCGCGAGACUGGUGAGAAAGGUGGUGUUGAACAGCGAAGAACUGUGAGACACCCUGACAGUCACCAAUUCUUCAUUGGCAACUUCCCUCAUGCGGUGGACAAAUCAGAACUUAAGGAUUUCUUCCAAAGUUACGGGAAUGUGGUGGAGCUGCGCAUCAACAGCGGCCGGAAGUUACCCAAUUUCGGCUUUGUCUUGUUUGAUGAUUCUGAGCCUGUUGAGAAGGUCCUCAGCAACAGGCCUACCAUGUUCAGAGGUGAAGCUCGCCUAAAUGUGGAAGAGAAGAAGACUCGAGCUGCCAGGGAAGGAGACCGCCGAGAUAACCGCCUGCGGGGACCUGGAGGCCCUCGAGGUGGGCUGAGUGGUGGAACGAGAGGCCCUCCCCGUGGAGGCAUGGUGCAGAAACCAGGAUUUGGAGUGGGAAGGGGGAUUGCUCCAAGGCAGUGAAUUGCUUAUCACUGAUCUUCACGUAGCAUAUAAACCCCAGCUCCUGCAGAAUGGUGAAUUUCUUCAACCAG